UUUUAUGAACAAAGAGCCGCUUGUUCCAUUGGUGGGUGAAAUUAGAAAAGGCAGAAGACAAGAUGGUGACAGCUAUCAGUUCUUAUUGCGUUAUAUCCUUUUUAAAAGCUCUGCACUACCGAUUGCAAGCCACACCACUCAGAAGAAAACGACUUCAGCUCUAAGGGUCAAUGAGCCGGAUCCUCACAAAAGUCAAAUGACUAGAUGUUUAAUGCUGGGGAUGCGCUGGUGCCUGCAGUAGUGGGAGAUGAAAAACGUACUGGAGUCAUUUGCUUGCCAGCACAGCCUUCAGGCCUUUGAGCUAUCAAAGUGGGAAUGCAGUACCAGCGGUUUCAUCCUCCAGAUACAUAGAUUCUAAGGCAGCUGUGAAUUAUGUGUGUUGUUGGAAGGAUAUGCCCAUCUUUGCUGCCAUAUGCUGCCUAUGGAGGACAUAGAAGUCUCACUGGAGGAUCUGGAGAGAUUAUCGGAAGGUUAAAGGUACCGUGUACUGGCUUUGCCAUUGUCUUGUUCAUUUCUCUGAGUAUCAGCUUCGUUCCACUGCAGCCUACCUUACUUACUUAGCAGAUCCCUGCUCACGUCAUUUAUUAUUCUUGAUUUAUUUUUUGACCGAAGCUCCUCUGAAGAGUACAUGGGACAGAGGGAUAUAAUUUUCAAGCAUUAAUAAAAACAGUAGGUCAACUCGCUGCUUGGAUCAAAUAUGAUGGAAAGAAUUUGUUACAUACGCAGGGUGAAUUAUUACAUUUAGUAAUAGCAAAGCUAUUGUAUUAUAAAUCUAUUGUAUUAUGUGUCUAGGUUACAUUGCCUACAUAUGAUAGUCUGUAGAAAUAUUGUGUGAUUACAAACAAAAAAAUGAGAAAUGUCAAGACAAACGAAUAUAUGGUAUUCUUAAUCUUAUUUAAACAUGGCUUGGUUCAAAUUACUUUCUAAGAUACGCUUGAGAAAAAUGCCUUGUCCAAGAAUGGCUGGAAUUGAUGCUUUGAAAUAUCAGUUGUCUCGAAGUUGUGCAGGGUUAAACGUAAUAUUCUUCAUUGUAUGCUACUGUAGCAGAAAAAGGAAAGGAGAAUUAUUUCCUCAAGACUAUUGAAAACAAUAGAGAAACAAUUUUGUACAUGCUUUCAUCUACAGAGUCUUAUCCUGAUUUAGCUCAAAAUACUCCGGUACAAUGCAAAUGUUGUGGGGUGAUUUUGUUGUUGCUGUUAUACAAUAAACAGGAAAAAUGAUCUCUACAGAAAACAGUUGCUCAAGCACUAAGUUAAGUUGAGAAAAAUGAAUUGUGCUCUUACAAAG